UACGGAAGGCAGCAGUGGGGAAUAUUGCACAAUGGGCGCAAGCCUGAUGCAGCCAUGCCGCGUGUAUGAAAAAGGCCUUCGGGUUGUAAAGUACUUUCAGUCGUGAGGAAGGUGUUAAGGUUAAUAACCUUAGCAAUUGACGUUAGCGACAGAAGAAGCACCGGCUAACUCCGUGCCAGCAGCCGCGGUAAUACGGAGGGUGCGAGCGUUAAUCGGAAUUACUGGGCGUAAAGGGCACGCAGGCGGUUAAUUAAGUUGGAUGUGAAAUCCCCGGGCUUAACCUGGGAAUGGCAUUCAAGACUGGUUAGCUAGAGUCUUGUAGAGGGGGUAGAAUUCCAUGUGUAGCGGUGAAUGCGUAGAGAUGUGGAGGAAUACCGGUGGCGAAGGCGGCCCCUGGACAAAGACUGACGCUCAUGUGCGAAAGCGUGGGGAGCAAACAGGGAUUAGAUA
rnacentral:rRNA from 1 species